rnacentral:sRNA from 1 species
UAUUCACAGUUUGAACAGAAGUAGCCAC